rnacentral:rRNA from 1 species
GUAGUCCACGCCGUAAACGAUGAAUACUAGUUAUUGGGGGUAUUGACUCCCUCAGUGACGCAGCUAACGCAUUAAGUAUUCCGCCUGGGGAGUACGGUCGCAAGACUAAAACUCAAACAAAUUGACGGGGGCCCGCACAAGCGGUGGAUUAUGUGGUUUAAUUCGAAGCAACGCGCAGAACCUUACCUAGGCUUGAACUCCUACGAAUCCGGCGUAAUGGCUGGAGUGUCCGCAAGGAAAUGUAGUGAGAGGUGCUGCAUGGCUGUCGUCAGCUCGUGUUGUGAAAUGUUGGGUUAAGUCUCGCAACGAGCGCAACCCCUAUCGUCUGUUGCCAGCAUUAAGUUGGGCACUCUGACGAGACUGCCAGUGAUAUACUGGA